UACGUAGGGUGCGAGCGUUAAUCGGAAUUACUGGGCGUAAAGCGUGCGCAGGCGGUUUUGUAAGCCAGAUGUGAAAGCCCCGGGCUCAACCUGGGAAUGGCAUUUGGGACUGCAAGGCUUGAGUGCGGCAGAGGAGACUGGAAUUCCUGGUGUAGCAGUGAAAUGCGUAGAUAUUAGGAGGAAUACCGAUGGCGAAGGCAGGUCUCUGGGCUGACACUGACGCUCAUGCACGAAAGCGUGGGGAGCAAACAGG
rnacentral:rRNA from 1 species